rnacentral:rRNA from 1 species
CCUACGGGCGGCAGCAGUGGGGAAUAUUGGACAAUGGGGGGAACCCUGAUCCAGCCAUGCCGCGUGUGUGAAGAAGGCCCUCGGGUUGUAAAGCACUUUCAGUGAGGAAGAACGCCUGGUGGUUAAUACCCAUCAGGAAAGACAUCACUCACAGAAGAAGCACCGGCUAACUCCGUGCCAGCAGCCGCGGUAAUACGGAGGGUGCGAGCGUUAAUCGGAAUUACUGGGCGUAAAGCGCGCGUAGGUGGCUUGAUAAGCCGGUUGUGAAAGCCCCGGGCUCAACCUGGGUACGGCAUCCGGAACUGGCAAGCUAGAGUGCAGGAGAGGAAGGUAGAAUUCCCGGUGUAGCGGUGAAAUGCGUAGAGAUCGGGAGGAAUACCAGUGGCGAAGGCGGCCUUCUGGACUGACACUGACACUGAGGUGCGAAAGCGUGGGUAGCAAACAGGAUUAGAUACCCCUGUAGUC